UACGUAGGGCGCAAGCGUUAUCCGGAAUUAUUGGGCGUAAAGAGCUCGUAGGCGGUUUGUCGCGUCUGCUGUGAAAUUUCGGGGCUCAACCCCGAACUUGCAGUGGGUACGGGCAGACUAGAGUGUGGUAGGGGAGACUGGAAUUCCUGGUGUAGCGGUGAAAUGCGCAGAUAUCAGGAGGAACACCGAUGGCGAAGGCAGGUCUCUGGGCCACUACUGACGCUGAGAAGCGAAAGCGUGGGGAGCAAACAGG
rnacentral:rRNA from 1 species